GACGAAGGGCUCGACUGUUAUUCGUUUUGAUUGGGUGUAAAGGGUGAGUAGGCGGUUAAUCGUAAAAUUUUGAGUCAAAGCGCGGAGUGUUCCUCCGCGAAAGCUCGAUUUAAAGGAUUUGACUAGUGUUGAUAAGGGGUUUAGGCAAUUUCGUACGUAGGAGUAAAAUCCAUCGAUGUACGAACGAACGCCAGCUGGCGAAGGCGCUUUUCCUAUUUCAACAGACGCUGAGGCACGGAAGCGUAGGGAGCAAACGGG
rnacentral:rRNA from 1 species